rnacentral:tRNA from 1 species
UGGCUCAGUUGGUAGAGCAAGGCACUUCCAAUGCCAGGGUUAUGGGUUCGAUUCCCAU